rnacentral:rRNA from 1 species
UACAGAGGUCCCAAGCGUUGUUCGGAUUCAUUGGGCGUAAAGGGUGCGUAGGCGGCGCGGUAAGUCGGGUGUGAAAUCUCGGAGCUUAACUCCGAAACUGCAUUCGAUACUGCCGUGCUUGAGGACUGGAGAGGAGACUGGAAUUUACGGUGUAGCGGUGAAAUGCGUAGAUAUCUGGAAGAACACCAGUGGCGAAGGCGGUCAACUGGCCCGUAACUGACGCUCAGGCACGAAAGCGUGGGUAGCGAACAGG